UCUUGACCAAAUUACGUGCCAGCAGUCGCGGCAAUACGCAGAAGACAAGUGUUAUUCAUCUUUAAUAGGUUUAAAGGGUACCUAGACGGGAAAUAAAGCCAUAAUAGGAACUAAUUUUCUAGGGUUUUAUGGAAGAAAGUCGAAUAUCUGGAGUAGAGAUAAAAUAUUAUGAUACCAGAGAGACGGGUAACGGCGUAGGCAGCUUUCUAUGUAAAAACUGACGUUGAGGAACGAAGCCCUGGGUAACGAUAAGGAUUAGAUACCCCAGUAGUCCAGGGAGACAAUGAUGAAUGCCAUAGGCUAGAUAAAUUAGUCUAUAAAUGAAAGUGCAAGCAUUCCACCUUAAGACUAAAGCGGCAACGCCCAAAUUGAAAUCAUUAGACCGUUCCUGAAACCAGUAGUGAAGUAUGUUAUUUAAUUCGAUGAUCCGCGAAUAACCUUACCACGUUUUGAAUACUAUUCAAUUAAUACAAGCGCUGCACGGCUGUCUUUAGUUAAUGUCGUGAGACUUUGGUUAACUCCUUUAAUUAACGAAAACCCUUGUUUUAUUUAUAC
rnacentral:rRNA from 1 species